rfam:Bacteriovorax sp. Seq25_V contig_54, whole genome shotgun sequence.
AAAAAGGCCUCUUUCGAGGCCUUUCUUAUUUCUCAAAAUUUUCUGU